rnacentral:tmRNA from 1 species
GGGGAUGAAAAGGCUCGAUGGAAAUAGCCUUUAUGGUGAGCAGAUCAAGUUUGUUAGAAUCUUGCAAAAACUAACAAAACAAAAUAAGUGCUAACUUAUUUAAGAAACCUGCUUUGGCUUACGCUUAAGGCAGCAUCCUAUUCAUUGAUUCUCGAUAAAUGAAAUCCGGGUGUCAUAUUUUCGAGAUAGAUAGUUGUCUUGCCUCAAGCAAUUAUUAAAACUUAGAGGCUAUGGACAUUAAAAAUUUUGUCUAUUUUUAAUCUAAUGUUCUGAAAAAUUAAAAUAGAAUAUAUCUGUAGAAUCAUUUUAAAGAAUCCUUUCCAGACGGGGGCUCAUUACCUCCCAUCUCCACCA